UCUCCUGGAAACGGGUGGUAAUGCCGGAUGUUCCACAUGAUCGCAUGUGAUUGUGGGAAAGAUUCUAUCGGCGUGGGAUGGGGUCGCGUCCUAUCAGCUUGUUGGUGAGGUAACGGCUCACCAAGGCUUCGACGGGUAGCCGGCCUGAGAGGGCGACCGGCCACAUUGGGACUGAGAUACGGCCCAGACUCCUACGGGAGGCAGCAGUGGGGAAUAUUGCACAAUGGGCGCAAGCCUGAUGCAGCGACGCCGCGUGAGGGAUGGAGGCCUUCGGGUUGUAAACCUCUUUUGUUUGGGAGCAAGCCUUCGGGUGAGUGUACCUUUCGAAUAAGCGCCGGCUAACUACGUGCCAGCAGCCGCGGUAAUACGUAGGGCGCAAGCGUUAUCCGGAUUUAUUGGGCGUAAAGGGCUCGUAGGCGGCUCGUCGCGUCCGGUGUGAAAGUCCAUCGCUUAACGGUGGAUCUGCGCCGGGUACGGGCGGGCUGGAGUGCGGUAGGGGAGACUGGAAUUCCCGGUGUAACGGUGGAAUGUGUAGAUAUCGGGAAGAAC
rnacentral:rRNA from 1 species